UAUUAAGACGUUGUGUUUGUAGCUGUCAUGAGUUUUCAAAUCGCAUAUUGUGGAAGUGAUCGUUUCGAAAUUGACGAGCAGAGAGAAUACGAUGAAAAUAAGGACAAAAAUAUUCAGACUAGAUUACAAAACAAUUCAAAGGACGCAGAAAUCAGUGAAGACGCAAAGAGUUUUGCCACUGGGGUUACAUCGAAAUGGCUAAACUUUUCAUUUCAGCUACAUGAUUUCGUGAAUACUAACUACAAUCGUUAUAUAGAAGAUUUUACUCAUGAUGAAGUUGAAAAUAAAAUUAAGUGUAGAAGAAAUUGCGCUUUCGUUGUAAAACAAGUUGCAAAUGAAAAUAAAUCUUCCUUAUUACUGAUUGAUUCUGGACACACAAAAACGGAUUCCAAGAAGACGGAAACAGACACUGUCGCUAUGAAUGAAAGACGGACAGAAACCGAUGAUGCAUUAAUCAAUCCUCCUGUGAAAAUCUCUGGAUUUCUGUCGUCUGCAGUAAAAACGUGGACAUCAGAUGACAAUCUUGUCAAUGACAAAAAUGUUAAUACAGUAGAGCAGGUACAACCAGAAGGGUGCUUUUGUUGGCCUCUUGUUCAUCUGAUUUACAGGAUACGGUACCGAUGGUUUGACAAGAAAAAGGACGAAAAAUUUCAGAAAAGACAAAAAUCUAACAAUGUGGAGUACUGUUUACGUAAGGUCUAGAAAUAAAGUGAAAAACUAAGAUAUUAAAAGCAGAAAACAGGAAAUUUGCUUUGCAUGGAAUCGUAAUUAAUAAAUUUAACUGAAAACAUCUCACAGUUCUCCUUAUUAAGAAAUCAUCGCUGAAGACGAGCAUCACAAAUAACA